UCCGUACGUUUCCAGUCUGUGUGUACACUUCAUGUGGUUGUGUGGAUGCCCUUACCCCAUACCCUGGAUAGUUCCAGACUUAACGCUUACGUACACGUUUCUAUUGAUCACGUUCAUUAUACCAUAUUUGCUGAUGCCGCGGACAUGUUUAAUGUGCUGUUAACGUUGGCGAGGUGUCUGUGGAUGGGAUGGCAUGAUGGUAGAUAAAAUCAGUUAGGAAUAUAACGCUGUUGACGACGGUGGCGGUAUGGAUGGAGUCGUCCCUGCUCUGGUCGUCGUUAUCAUACAGUACGCCACAGCGUCGCUGAUUGAAAUAGGUGUUGUGACGAAGAACGGUGGCAACGACCAGGUCAUCACUCAUAAUGAAACCGGUCACAUCGGACGCAUACACUGGUUCAAUGAAAGAAAUGGAUCCAUUUUCCAUAAAGUAGCUCAAAUUUCAAGUAUGAGGAACCGCAACUUUGACCUCAUCAUAGCGCCAGACCCAGUGAGGGGAGAGUCAGUGCAAUUCAUCAGACCGGAGUCGUUUUAUAAGAACGAUGUUGACAGAUAUCGUCUGUCAUCCAGCACAGAGUACCCCUGGAGCCCCCUUUGUCCGACUUCCUCAACUACACCAGCAGCCUCACCCACACGCUAGAUUGGAACUCGACGACGAUACUCAGUGACAGGGACAACAGUUUUGACUCGCACAGCCUGGCCAGGGCCCUAUCAAGGCUUGGUGUCAAGUCAGAAUUAGUGUUCGUGAAGAAAGACGGUAAUCUGAAGUUCCUGGAACCGAUCAUGGAAAGCAUUGGCAUGGACAAGAUGAAACUCAGACUACGAUUUGUAGUACUGUGUUCUUUACCACUUAUUAGGCAAAUACUUAAAGAGGCUGAGGAGUUUGACACGUAUUUUGGGAAGGGUUCCUUGUUUCGUCACUUCUCCCAAUGGCUGCUGUUAGUCCCUCGACCUGCUUUAAGAUCCAUAGAGGGCAUGGACCUGAAACUGGACCAUGUCGCCGUCAUCAGCACCUCAUACAAGAACUUCGACAUCAGCAAACUAAAACAGUGGGUAGUGAAAACAACAUCAGAGGUUUUGUCAUCAGAGCACACAUGGAACAGAUCUGAUUUCACGGACCAUUUUCUU